CAAGUAAUGAAUGUUUAAAAGAGUUUAUUAAGAAUAAACUGGUGUUGCUUGUAAAGGAAUCAGACGAGAGCAGAAUCCAGGCAAGAGAAUCAGUAACAGGAGGGGCAUAGGACAUGGACACGAUUGCUGACAUUUCUGUUUGCAUAAGAGAGUCUCUCAGGAAUCACGGCCAGGCUCCCCCGGGUCCGCUGGCAGGUAAUGGAACCGUCUUGGCAGAAACAUGGAGUGUGUGUUCUGAAUGCAAAGCCUCCUGCUUCACUUUCAG